AUUGAACGCUGGCGGCAUGCUUUACACAUGCAAGUCGAACGGUAACAGGGAGCUUGCUCCGCUGACGAGUGGCGAACGGGUGAGUAAUGCGUCGGAACGUGCCGAGUAGUGGGGGAUAACGCAGCGAAAGUUGUGCUAAUACCGCAUACGUACUGAGGUAGAAAGUGGGGGACCUUCGGGCCUCACGCUAUUCGAGCGGCCGACGUCUGAUUAGCUAGUAGGUGAGGUAAAGGCUCACCUAGGCGACGAUCAGUAGCGGGUCGGAGAGGAUGGUCCGCCACACUGGGACUGAGACACGGCCCAGACUCCUACGGGAGGCAGCAGUGGGGAAUUUUGGACAAUGGGCGAAAGCCUGAUCCAGCCAUGCCGCGUGUCUGAAGAAGGCCUUCGGGUUGUAAAGGACUUUUGUCGGGGAGGAAAUCCCCAGCGCUAAUACCGCUGGGGGAUGACAGUACCUGAAGAAUAAGCACCGGCUAACUACGUGCCAGCCGCCGCGGUAA
rnacentral:rRNA from 1 species